CCUACGGGAGGCAGCAGUGAGGAAUAUUGGUCAAUGGCCGAAAGGCUGAACCAGCCAAGUAGCGUGAAGGAUGAUUGCCCUAUGGGUUGUAAACUUCUUUUAUAUGGGAAUAAAAUGUUCCACGUGUGGGAGUUUGUAUGUACCAUAUGAAUAAGGAUCGGCUAACUCCGUCCCAGCAGCCGCGGUAAUACGGAGGAUCCGAGCGUUAUCCGGAUUUAUUGGGUUUAAAGGGAGCGUAGGUGGGUUGUUAAGUCAGUGGUGAAAGUUUGCGGCUAAAGCGUAAAAUUGCAGUUGAUACUGGCAGUCUUGAGUACAGUAGAGGUGGGCGGAAUGCGUGGUGUAGCGGUGAAAUGCUUAGAUAUCACGAAGAACUCCGAUUGCGAAGGCAGCUCACUAAACUGCAACUGACACUGAGGCUCGAAAGCGUGGGUAUCAAACAGGAUUAGAUACCCUAGUAGUC
rnacentral:rRNA from 1 species